rnacentral:rRNA from 1 species
UACGGGGGGGGCAAGCGUUGUUCGGAAUUACUGGGCGUAAAGCGCACGUAGGCGGAUUUGUAAGUCAGGGGUGAAAUCCCGGGGCUCAACCUCGGAACUGCCUUUGAUACUGCAAAUCUCGAGUCCGGAAGAGGUGGGUGGAAUUCCUAGUGUAGAGGUGAAAUUCGUAGAUAUUAGGAAGAACACCGGUGGCGAAGGCGGCCCACUGGUCCGGUACUGACGCUGAGGUGCGAAAGCGUGGGGAGCAAACAGG